rnacentral:snoRNA from 1 species
UGUAGGAGGAAGACUUACUCAAAAGUUGAGGGAGCAUCGCUGUUCUGCUCCUUCUUCAUCUGAACAAGGAAUGCAUCUACGAAAUCACCUCCUUCUCCUUCGAUGACG